rnacentral:rRNA from 1 species
GAAUAGAUAGGUAACGUACCCUGGACUCAGGAAUAGCGGCGUCCCGACUUGUCGGGACUUUGCGAAAGUGCCGAUAAUACCUGAUGAUACCCCCGAUACUCAUGUAUUGGGGGUCAAAGGUCCGCCGGUCCGGGAGCGGCCUAUCUCCUAUCAGCUUGUUGGUGGGGUAAUGGCCUACCAAGGCAUCGACAGGUACCAGGCGUGAGAGCGUGACCUGGCACAUCGGGACUGAGACACUGCCCGGACAUCUACGGGUGGCUGCAGCAACGAAUAUUCCGCAAUGGGCGCAAGCCUGACGGAGCGACGCCGCGUGUAGGAUGAAGCGCCUCGGUGUGUAAACUACUGUCAGGGGUUAGGAAGAAAGUGACCAACCCCACAGGAAGCAUCGGCUAACUCCGUGCCAGCAGCCGCGGUAAUACGGAGGAUGCAAGCGUUGUUCGGAAUCACUGGGCUUAAAGAGUGCGUAGGCGGGAAAGCAGGUGUCGGGUGAAAGCCCUCGGCUCAACCGAGGAACUGCUCGGCAAACCGCUUUUCUUGAGGCUAGCAGAGGAACCCGGAACCUUGGGUGGAGCGGUGAAAUGCGUAGAUAUCCAAGGGAACGCCAGUGGCGAAAGCGGGGUUCUGGGCUAGUUCUGACGCUGAGGCACGAAAGCGUGGGUAGCAAACAGGAUUAGAUACCCUGGUAGUCCACGCCGUAAACGAUGCGCACUAGGUAUCAGCGCCUCUGACGGGGUUGGUGCCGCAGCGAAAGCAUUAAGUGCGCCGCCUGGGGAGUACGGCCGCAAGGCUAAAACUCAAAGGAAUUGACGGGGGCUCACACAAGCGGUGGAGCAUGUGGAUUAAUUCGAAGCAACGCGAAGAACCUUACCUGGGUUUGACAUGCUAGGAUGCACCCGUGAAAGCGGGCUAUGCUACUCUUUGAGUGAAACUAGCACAGGUGCUGCACGGCUGUCGUCAGCUCGUGCUGUGAAGUGUCGGGUUAAGUCCCUU